UGUGUGUGUGCGUGUGUGUGUGUAUGUAUAUGCAUGUGUAUAUGUAUAGACACACAUAUGUAUGGAUAUUGAUAUGCGCGCACACGCGCACACAAACACACACACA